CCAUAGCGACUAUCGUGGCAUAUCAAUAAGCGGAGGAAAAGAAACUAACAAGGAUUCCCCUAGUAACGGCGAGUGAAGCGGGAAGAGCUCAAAUUUGAAAUCUUAAAGGGUUUCCCUUUACGAAUUGUAGUUUAAAGAAGUGUUUUCUGUUGGAGUUUCGGUAAAAGUUCUUUGGAAUAGGACAUCAUAGAGGGUGAGAAUCCCGUAUUUGAUCGUUACUUUCCAGCUGUGUGAUACACUUUCAAAGAGUCGGAUUGUUUGGGAAUGCAGUCCAAAGUGGGUGGUAAAUUUCAUCUAAAGCUAAAUAUUGGCGAGAGACCGAUAGCGAACAAGUACCGUGAGGGAAAGAUGAAAAGAACUUUGAAAAGAGAGUUAAACAGUACGUGAAAUUGUCAAAAGGGAAGCGUUUGACACCAGUGUUGUUUAGUUGAAAAUCAAUUCAAUAAUUUUUGAUUUUAAGUAGUAUUGACUUCAUCAGCUUGCUGCUUUCUUUUCAGGAAUUAUUGAAUGCACUUUUCAGUUAACAAGUCAACAUCAAUUUCUUUUGUUGUAAGAGGGUAAGAGGAAGGUGGCUUACGCUUCGGCGUAAGUGUUUAUAGCCUUUUACCUCUGCAAUCGGAGAGAUUGAGGACAGCAGCGUAGACUCUUCGGGGUUAGAUUACACUUGUGCUAAGCUAUAGCCUUGUAUAGACAACUUGUUGACUAUGCUCAGUCAUGUAGCUUACUCGCUGAUGCUAUUUUACCUACGCUUAGGAUGUUGAUAUGCAUGACUGAUAU
rnacentral:rRNA from 1 species